rnacentral:rRNA from 1 species
GGCCUUCGGGUUGUAAACUCCUUUCGCAACCGACGAAGCUUUUGUGACGGUAGGUUGAGAAGAAGCACCGGCUAACUACGUGCCAGCAGCCGCGGUAAUACGUAGGGUGCAAGCGUUGUCCGGAAUUACUGGGCGUAAAGAGCUCGUAGGUGGUUUGUCGCGUCGUUUGUGGAAUACCGCAGCUUAACUGCGGGGUUGCAGGCGAUACGGGCAUAACUUGAGUGCUGUAGGGGUAACUGGAAUUCCUGGUGUAGCGGUGAAAUGCGCAGAUAUCAGGAGGAACACCGAUGGCGAAGGCAGGUCUCUGGGCUGUAACUGACGCUGAGGAGCGAAAGCAUGGGGAGCGAACAGGAUUAGAUACCCUGGUAGUCCAUGCCGUAAACGUUGGGCACUAGGUGUGGGGGACAUUCCACGUUUUCCGCGCCGUAGCUAACGCAUUAAGUGCCCCGCCUGGGGAGUACGGCCGCAAGGUUAAAACUCAAAUGAAUUGACGGGGGCCCGCACAAGCGGCGGAGCAUGCGGAUUAAUUCGAUGCAACGCGAAGAA